GACGAACGCUGGCGGCGUGCCUAAUACAUGCAAGUCGAACGCAGUGGGGACGGGUGAGUAACACGUGGGUAACCUCCCAUCAGAGGGGAUAACCCUUGGAAACAGGUGCUAAACCGAUAUUGAAUGAUGGACCCGCGGUGCAUUAGCUAGUUGGGGAGGGAACGGCUCACCAAGGCCACGAUACAUAGCCGACCUGGAGGGGUGAUCGGCCAAACUGGGACUUAGAAACGGCCCAGACUCCGACGGGAGGCAGCAAGAGGGAAUCUGCGGAAAUGGACGGAAGGCUGACCGCGCAAAGGCGCGUUAGUGAAGAAGGUUUUCGGAUCGUAAAGCUCUGUUGUUAGAGAAGCGGUAACUAACCAGAAAGGGACGGCUAACUACGUGCCAGCCGCCGCGGUAAUUC
rnacentral:rRNA from 1 species